AGCGCCUUGCUAUUUCGACAUCGCGCAUGUUCGGAGGAACAUGCGUCGUGGUUAUCGACGCGAGUUGCGUAAGAAAAGCGACGCCGCUUCUCAGGGUCGCCUGGCUCGUGUCCGACGAGGAACGCGCUCGUCGAGAUCUGCAUACAUAUGCACGUGGACAGAGGCGAGGCUAUGAGCUCAUUUUUUAUCUGGUUUUAAGGAGACUGCGCAAUAGAAUAUCAUACGCCGCAUCAUGCGGAAAAAAUACUCCGAUCGAAUCCUCGUGUAACCUUCAAACGGCCGCGUCUCAAGGUGUCGUAAGGCUGGAAACGCGGAUGAACUCGGGAAUCUCAGGACCUCGGAGGAGCGAGGGCGAGGCGUCAAGAGAUCGCGUUGAGAGGCCGGCUGUUGUCACGCGCGGAUCCAUUUCCAUUCACAUCCGCGCGUUCACGUUUCCGCCACGUCGGCAUUGACAAGCCGGCGACAUCGUUGUUAUCUCGCCAGCGCGACCAUGCAAUCCUGUUGAGCGGAAACCGCUUCGGACGAAAGUACGUGCCCUAGAAACGGCAGGAAUGGCGAGCCCCCGACGACAACAACGUCAGCAGGAUCCCAUCUGCUUGCAGGAGCCAUGGGGAUUCCACGAGUGAGCUUCCGUAAGGAGCAUACACACACACACAUACUCUUCCGCACCGUAUCCCGUCGAUUGGAAUCCUAUUUUGAUUUCCUUGAAGGUAAACUAUCUGUCUUACAUACGGUAACAUAAUAUUCCGAAUAUUCAAGUCAAUUAAAAAUCGUCCGAAACGGAGGUCUAUUUUGUGUGAAAGAAUGACGUCUACGUUUGUGUCGUCCAUUUCUAACCAAAGAUAUCUCGAGUGUGAGAUCGUCGAUUUCUCAAUCGGGCAACAGGUAAUUGUCCUUUCCUUUAAAAUCUGUCAUCGGUCUUGCUAUUUUAUUGUAAAAUCAAACUUCACACGAGCUGCACGCAUAAUCAUAAAAUAUAAAAGUCUUUAUUCUGAAGACAAAAUUCAGUAGUAGAUAUCCGUUCAGUUCAUAUUCCGUUGAUGGUGCUUCGGGCGACGAGCAAGUGCGUGAAUUUAUCCGCUCUGCGAUUUAAGUCCGUUAGGGUCGUACAUCAUCGCGCCGACAGGUGUCGC